CAUUAGAAACGGGAAAGCUUCUACGACCAAAAGGGGACGUGCCUCCGCAAAUGCCGCAAGAAAGCUUGGAGAUUGGCAGUUUACCACUAGCACGUACCGGCGUACCAUACAAAUGGAUUACACCAGACGUUAUUUGCUCUAACCAAUACGCAGGCCUUGCCCUUUGCCGUCUCUCGUCUCGAGCUUCUCGCUCACAACCAAUCACGUUCUUCUGGUCACUAGUUCUUAAUUGAUUUCAGCUGCGUCUCCCCCGCCUCUCCUCAUAAAGGGCCCCCACCGUGUCGGAUGUUAAUCGUUUAUUUUGCGUUGGAUUGCGUGGGCUGAACAAUCCGGACAUCGUGGCCACCGACGUGGACCUCCCGCCACCGAGACCCACGCACACCAACCACCACACUGGGAAGUGUCCUCUGCUCACUGUGGAAGCAGCAUGGAAGAACUGCAGCAACUCUGAUGGAAACUACAGGACCUCCACGCUGUUGAACACAAACUGUUGUAGGCCUACUACAAACAGAGGCGGUCCCACUCGGUUAAAGAUCUCGUGGUCAAUGCGGCAGACCGCUGGACCUGGACGUCACCUUCUGCAGAUACUUCACUGCCCUCAGGAAUCCACGGAUAACUUGAAGCAUGUCCGAAAAAUCCAGGAUGGAAACUUGUGGAAGGAAGAAAGGGUUCUGUUUUUGCUCAACCCAUAACCCCACUGAGCCCUUCUGUGGAAACCUGUCUGACUGACUGACCAUACUGACUGGGGGCCUGUUGAUGUGUGUUUGGUUGGUCUGGUAGAAGGUUUGCUGCUGUGAUCUGCAAGGUGGUCCUGGGUUAGAUGCGGUGUCUGACUUGCACACCACUCUCCCAAUUAUAUUCUUCUCUUUACUACUUUUCUACUUUCAAUACACUUGCUGCUGCUGUUGACCGCUGGUGGUGCAAAGUGGUUUUUAUUCGCGUAUGUUCUGUGCAUUGCAUUUGUAUUUUAAUGAACAUGUUUACUGCCUGUUAGACCUCGGAUUGGCAAACCUAAACUCCUUCACUGGCAAAAUGUAGAUGCAAAUUAAAUGCCAAAAUUAACAUUUCAAUAUUCGUUUUGCGUAUUUCACCAAUAGCUUCGGAACUAGACGGACCUCAUAUAUAAUUUGCUCUUCAAAGAUGCGGUCAGGCGCCCCUCCGUUAUAUAACGUUUUCUGCCCGGUACGAAAUAGAUCGAGCAAUAGCAACCCUUUAGGCUAUCUAAUGUGAGGUUGGAUAUGCGCAACAUGUAGAGGUGUUUCAACAACAAAGAUGGAAGUUAGUGAACUAAAGACUAUGCUCACUAAAAGAACGAACGACUACUACUCUUAAAGAUUUUGCGGAAUAUGUAUUUCUGCAUCACCCGUUCCAAUGCUAUGAUUAGUCGAGGCCUAUCCAAUAGCAUAGCAUCGACCCAUUUUAGGUCGCGCCGUUUAGACACGCCCCUUGGAAAUUGAACAACGCACUUCAACGCAGAGGAUCCAGAAGGAUUUCACAACGAGUCAAUUGGAAGAUAUCGAGGAACAUGAACAUCACCAAUGAAGGAGAGUAACGUUUCCACUUGCUAUAGGAAUUUAGUGAAGCACUAAAUAGUUAAUAAUAAUAAAAUGUGGUCACCAUUUAUUGACUUUUUGGGUAAGACUUGCUUUACUAAUAUAACCGCGUUAAAACCGCAUUCAUUUACUUUUUUUGUGUAGUUUCCCACUAUUCAUUAAAUGUGUUGUAGAAGUAAAAAAGUAAUCAAUAGAACUAUACACAUUUGUACAACAAUUAUUCAUUAUACAGGAUUUGAACAUUUUCUAUUCGAGCUCAUGCUUUAUAAUAUUGCUAGGAUUGCAGAGUACCAAAUGAUUUAUGAACAGUGGUUUGUUUUUGUUCAGGAGCGGAUUGUACUCCCAGAGGCUUCAACAGAGCGGGUCUGGAGCUGGGAGCUGCAGGUGGAUGGUGGCCAGGAGCCGUUCAGUCCUACAGGAACAGACGGUAGAGGUGAUGGAGGCGGUCGUCUGGAGGUGCUCGCCGUGAGGUCCAUGGCGGUCGUC